rnacentral:rRNA from 1 species
CCUACGGGUGGCAGCAGUGGGGAAUAUUGCACAAUGGGCGCAAGCCUGAUGCAGCCAUGCCGCGUGUGUGAAGAAGGCCUUCGGGUUGUAAAGCACUUUCAGCGGGGAGGAAGGCGGUGAGGUUAAUAACCUCAUCGAUUGACGUUACCCGCAGAAGAAGCACCGGCUAACUCCGUGCCAGCAGCCGCGGUAAUACGGAGGGUGCAAGCGUUAAUCGGAAUUACUGGGCGUAAAGCGCACGCAGGCGGUCUGUCAAGUCGGAUGCGAAAUCCCCGGGCUCAACCUGGGAACUGCAUUCGAAACUGGCAGGCUAGAGUCUUGUAGAGGGGGGUAGAAUUCCAGGUGUAGCGGUGAAAUGCGUAGAGAUCUGGAGGAAUACCGGUGGCGAAGGCGGCCCCCUGGACAAAGACUGACGCUCAGGUGCGAAAGCGUGGGGAGCAAACAGGAUUAGAUACCCUUGUAGUC